rnacentral:rRNA from 1 species
AUUGAACGCUGGCGGGAGGCCUAACACAUGCAAGUCGAGCGGAGCGGCGGAGGGGGGAGGAAUGCCUAGGAAUCGGCCUGGUAGUGGGGGAGAACGUCCGGAAACGGGCGCUAAUACCGCAUACUAUCAGAUGAGCCUAGGUCGGAUUAGCUAGUUGGUGGGGUAAAGGCGUACCAAGGCGACGAUCCGUAACUGGUUUGAGAGGAAGAGCAGUCACACUGGAACUGAGACACGGUCCAGACUCCUACGGGAGGCAGCAGUGGGGAAUAUUGGACAAUGGGCGAAAGCCUGAUCCAGCCAUGCCGCGUGUGUGAAGAAGGUCUUCGGAUUGUAAAGCACUUUAAGUUGGGAGGCGUUACCAACAGAAUAAGCACCGGCUAACUUCGUGCCAGCAGCCGCGGUAAUUC